CCGGGAGGUUUCAUGUGUUACAAUAUGUGAUAUUGAAAUACAAAAUAAGCAAAAUAAAAUACAAAAUGUGUUGUCAUUUGUGUUCUGAGUGGUCGAUGAUUGUGAGGCUGGUGGAAAGAAGCACCAACGAUGCUACCAUUCCGCCGACACUGGUUAAUAGCAAUGGCCGACGACCAGAUUUGUCAAUCAGAUCUGUAGUUCUAUUCUAUACUUGAGGAAGGUUUUGCAUGCUGUUAGGGUCAUGUAUAUGCUUGGAUCUUCUCUCUUCAUCCAUUUUAGUCGUCGUGCCUACAUUAUCCAAUAGUCCUUGAGUAAUACAUAGAUCAAAAGAUGGAAAAUCACUAGAAAAUUAAUGAAUAAGUGGGAUACCUCUUGUAAUCUCUUAGAGUCGGCCAUUAGAGAGGAUCUUUGAGGUUUUCCUUAUCCAAAAUCCUAAUCGAAAUUAGUGAAUUUACUAAGCAACUAAACAAAUAAAUUUUUUGAAAGGUUUAAACAAAACAAAAUCAGUAAACAAAC
rnacentral:lncRNA from 1 species